rnacentral:rRNA from 1 species
GGGUUGUGAGGUUAAGCGACUAAGCGUACACGGUGGAUGCCCUGGCAGUCAGAGGCGAUGAAGGACGUGCUAAUCUGCGAUAAGCGCCGGUAAGGUGAUAUGAACCGUUAUAACCGGCGAUUUCCGAAUGGGGAAACCCAGUGUGACUCGUCACACUAUCAUUAACUGAAUCCAUAGGUUAAUGAGGCGAACCGGGGGAACUGAAACAUCUAAGUACCCCGAGGAAAAGAAAUCAACCGAGAUUCCCCCAGUAGCGGCGAGCGAACGGGGAGGAGCCCAGAGCCUGAAUCAGCAUGUGUGUUAGUGGAAGCGUCUGGAAAGGCGCGCGAUACAGGGUGACAGCCCCGUACACAAAAGCGCAUGUGCUGUGAGCUCGAUGAGUAGGGCGGGACACGUGGUAUCCUGUCUGAAUAUGGGGGGACCAUCCUCCAAGGCUAAAUACUCCUGACUGACCGAUAGUGAACCAGUACCGUGAGGGAAAGGCGAAAAGAACCCCGGCGAGGGGAGUGAAAAAGAACCUGAAACCGUGUACGUACAAGCAGUGGGAGCCCCACCACUAAGCCAGUGGUGAACUCCACAUACGCAUCCUUUGCUGAGGAUACGGUUAACGGAGCGAAAGCGACGUUCAACCUCAAAAGAAGCAGAGGGGGCUUAGUGGUGGGGUGACUGCGUACCUUUUGUAUAAUGGGUCAGCGACUUAUAUUCUGUAGCAAGGUUAACCGUAUAGGGGAGCCGGAGGGAAACCGAGUCUUAAUUGGGCGUUAAGUUGCAGGGUAUAGACCCGAAACCCGGUGAUCUAGCCAUGGGCAGGUUGAAGGUUGGGUAACACUAACUGGAGGACCGAACCGACUAAUGUUGAAAAAUUAGCGGAUGACCUGUGGCUGGGGGUGAAAGGCCAAUCAAACCGGGAGAUAGCUGGUUCUCCCCGAAAGCUAUUUAGGUAGCGCCUCGUGAAUUCAUCUCCGGGGGUAGAGCACUGUUUCGGCUAGGGGGCCAUCCCGGCUUACCAACCCGAUGCAAACUGCGAAUAC